UUCGUUCUUCCCUUGCAUUUCGGCUGCAUGUCAUAUUUCAUGUGACUGUCUACCUGGCCUCCCUUGCCUGGACCACAUACGUGAGGCUCAACGUUCGAGGAAUUUGUCAUGCUGCAACAGACGGUGGGGCAGCACCAUUGCCGUAUCAGGAGGCAACAGUUUCCUCAAUUCCGUGGAGGAAUCAUGGAGUGAAACCUAGCUCCCAACAAACGUGGCCAGCAGAUCACUGACGAGGAAGAGGAGGCUCAAGUAACACUCCUCAACGAAGCUUGGCGGGCUCAGCUGCUGAGGCCUGUGGAGCCCUGGACUGGGAACCUCACCGACAUGCUUCUCCAACCUCUUUCCUUUUACAAUAAAUAAUUCUCAGUUAAUA
rnacentral:lncRNA from 1 species